UUAAGGUGCAGUGCUCAUGUGUUUAAGAUACAUAAACAGGCUAGCCGUCUUCGUUUCUCUUUCUUCAGAUGAUGAUCCCAAGCCUUCUGGCGAUCUAGACAGAAAACAAGUCCACCGUGGGCUUUGAAAACGCUUUCCUUGAUAAAAUUUAAGCGUUUUAUAAGAGGAUGCCGGGGAAGGUUCCGGUUUAUCCCGGAGGGCUUGUAGCUCAGUUGGUUAGAGCGCGCGCUUGAUAAGCGUG
rnacentral:misc_RNA from 1 species